rnacentral:rRNA from 1 species
UGGAAGCAGCAAUGGAGGAGGAGGAUGAGGUAGCCAACACUGUAUAUAUAUAUAAUUUUUUUAAUUGGGGUAGCCCCCAAAAUAUUGGGACCUAUAAAAAAAGACAACUCUGUUCCGCAGAGUAGCUGUUGACAUUAUAGUUGCGCAGGCACUUUGUUGACUCUAGAGAACCUUGGGCCAAUCACACAUCCCCAUGGCGGCAACUUUGCAUGCGGAUGUCAUCCAUAUCAACUUUCGAUGCCAGUUUCUGCGCCUACCAUGGUGACCACGGGUAACAGGGAAUCAGGGUUCCAUUCCGUACAGGGACCCUGAGAAAUGGCAACCACAUGCAAGAAAGGCAGCAGGCACGCAAAUGCCCCACUCCCGACUCGGGAAGUUAGUGA